CAGCCAUCACGUGGGGUGUGGGUGAAACUAUGAAUAUUAAACAAACAAAAUCCUUUGACUGAAAAAAAAAAACAAAAACAAAAACAAAAUCCCUCUGUCAAAAGAACAGAGAAGCACGCGUGAGAAAACAAAAUGAAAAUGGAGAAGAGAACCCGACGCCGCCGACAAUGAAGAAUGAAGAAGAAGAAAUUGAUGAGUAGGGGCGCCGCUGGAUGAAGAAGAAAAAGGAAGAUCUGGGCUUCUUAAGGACGAAGAAAAAGAAUUGAUGAGUGGGGGCACUGCUGGAUGAAGAAGAAGAAGGAAGAUCUGAAAGAAGUGGAGACGUUUCCUGAUACGCGUAUCCUAAACAUCUGAUACGCGUAUCUGUAAUGUCAGAUACGAGUAUCUUUUUGCCUUUGACCGUAUCCGUUUACUCGGAUACGUAUCCAUCGCGUAUCCGCACGUAUUCACAGCGUAUCGUAUCCCCUAGCGUAUCGGAUACGGGAUACGCACCUCAACCAGCGUAUCCGUGCUUCUUUUGC
rnacentral:lncRNA from 1 species